rnacentral:rRNA from 1 species
UACGGGGGGGGCAAGCGUUGUUCGGAAUUACUGGGCGUAAAGGGCCCGUAGGUGGCCAACUAAGUCAGACGUGAAAUCCCUCGGCUUAACCGGGGAACUGCGUCUGAUACUGGAUGGCUUGAGAUUGGGAGAGGGAUGCGGAAUUCCAGGUGUAGCGGUGAAAUGCGUAGAUAUCUGGAGGAACACCGGUGGCGAAGGCGGCAUCCUGGACCAACACUGACACUGAGGAGCGAAAGCCAGGGGAGCAAACGGG